UCUGUAGGCGGUGCGGCAAGUCGGGAGUGAAAUCUCAGGGCUUAACUCUGAGUCUGCUUUCGAAACUGCCGUGCUGGAGUGCGGGAGAGGUGAGUGGAAUUGCAGGUGUAGCGGUGAAAUGCGUAGAUAUCUGCAGGAACACCAGAGGCGAAGGCGGCUCACUGGACCGCAACUGACGCUGAGAGACGAAAGCUAGGGGAGCAAACAGGAUUAGAUACCCUGGUAGUCCUAGCCCUAAACCAUCAGGACUUGGCGUGGGUCCCGUUCGGGGCCCGUGUCGGAGCUAACGCGUGAAGUCCUGCGCCUGGGGAGUACGGUCGCAAGGCUGAA
rnacentral:rRNA from 1 species